rnacentral:rRNA from 1 species
GACGAACGCUGGCGGCGUGCUUAACACAUGCAAGUCGAACGAUGAAGCCAGCUUGCUGGUGGAUUAGUGGCGCACGGGUGAGUAACACGUGGGUGAUCUGCCCCAAACUUUGGGAUAAGCCUGGGAAACUGGGUCUAAUACCGAAUAUGACCGAUACUCGCAUGGGUGUUGGUGGAAAGCUCCGGCGGUUUGGGAUGGGCCCGCGGCCUAUCAGCUUGUUGGUGGGGUAAUGGCCUACCAAGGCGACGACGGGUAGCCGGCCUGAGAGGGCGACCGGCCACACUGGGACUGAGACACGGCCCAGACUCCUAUGGGAGGCAACAGUGGGGAAUAUUGCACAAUGGGCGCAAGCCUGAUGCAGCGACGCCGCGUGAGGGAUGACGGCCUUCGGGUUGUAAACCUCUUUCACCAGGGACGAAGCGAAAGUGACGGUACCUGGAGAAGAAGCACCGGCCAACUACGU